AACGUGUUCCGGGGUCGGUGAAAGUCCGAACCGGCGGUUAUAGUCCGCGACCCCCGCGGCCUUCGGGCCAACGGGCUGACUCGGUGAAAUUCCGAGACCGACAGUCAGAGUCUGGAUGGGAGGAACACGCG
rnacentral:ncRNA from 1 species